rnacentral:rRNA from 1 species
AGGGUCCACGGAGGAUGCCUAGGAGCCGCCAGACGAAGAAGGACGUGGUUAGCUGCGAAAAGCCGCGGGGAGGGGCCAACACCCAAUGAUCCGCGGGUAUCCGAAUGGGGUAACCCGGCAGUCUGGAUGAUUGUCACUUAUAUGUGAAUAAAAUAGCAUAUAAGAGGUAUACGCUGGGAACUGAACCAUCUAAGUACCAGCAGGAGUAGAAAUCAAAAGAGAUUCCCUUAGUAGCGGCGAGCGAAGGGGGAAGAGCCCAAACCAAGUGCUUUCGGGUGCUUGGGGUUGUAGGGGUGCAUCUGGGGUAACCCGGACAGUAAGAAAGUAUUAAGUUAGACGAAUGUUUCUGGGAAGAGCAGUCAAAGAGAGUGAAAGCCUCGUAGUUAAAAACUUAGUACCUGUUUGGAUGCAUUUCCUGAGUACGGCGGGACACGAGAAAUCCUGUCGGAAUCUGGGGGGACCACCCUCCAAGGCUAAAUACUCGGCGGCUACCGAUAGCGCAUAGUACCGUGAGGGAAAGGUGAAAAGUACCCCGGAAGGGGAGUGAAAGAGAACCUGAAACCGUGGACCUACAAGCGGUCAAAGCCCGAAAGGGUGAUGGCGUGCCUUUUGUAGAAUGAGCCUGCGAGUUACCGUAUGUAGCAAGGUUAAGGGAUAGAAGUCCUGGAGCCGUAGGGAAACCGAGUCUGAAUAGGGCGAUAAGUUGCAUGCGGUAGACCCGAAGCCAAGUGAUCUAACCAUGGCCAGACUGAAGCUGGAGUAAAAUUCAGUGGAGGGUCGAACUUAAAUCCGCUGAAAAGGGUUGAGAUGAGCUGUGGUUAGGAGUGAAAGGCUAAACAAACUUGGAGAUAGCUGGUACUCCCCGAAAUAGCUUUAGGGCUAGCGUUACGUGGACUGCCACGGAGGUAAAGCACUGGAUAGAUGCGGGCCCUUCACCGGGUACCAAGUUUAACCAAACUCUGAAUGCCGUGGUACAAUGCGUAGCAGUCAGACGGCGACUGAUAAGGGCCGUCGUCAAGAGGGAAACAGCCCAGACCGUCAGCUAAGGUCCCCAAGAUAUACUAAGUGGGAAAGGAAGUGUGAUUGCACAGACAGCCAGGAGGUUGGCUCAGAAGCAGCCAUUCCUUCAAAGAGUGCGUAAUAGCUCACUGGUCGAGUAGUCAUGCGCCGACAAUCCAACGGGGCUAAGUAUAUCACCGAAGCUACGGCAUAGCGCUAGACGCUGUGGGUAGGGGAGCAUUCUGUGUACGGAUGAAGUCAGAGUGGAAACUCUGGUGGACGGGACAGAAGAGAGAAUGCAGGCAUGAGUAACGAAAAGAGGGGUGAGAUCCCCCUCCGCCGAAAGCCUAAGGUUUCCAGGGUAAAGUCAAUCUACCCAAGGGUUAGUCGGCCCCUAAGGCGAGGACGAAAGUCGUAGUCGAUGGGAAGCGGGUCAAUAUUCCCGCACCUCUCAGUGUUUCGAAGGAAUGAAGCAUAGGGCGAAACGCGGCAGGGCGACGGUUGUCCCUGUCGAAGCAGCGAGGCGUUGAUACUGAUAGGCAAAUCCGUCAGUUGAGAAGAGCUGUGAGCGAUUACUUCUACGGAAGUGAGAAGCGCGUGUAGUCGUCGUGCCAAGAAAUAGUUUCUAAGGUUAGGCACUGAGGGACCGUACUAUAAACCGACACAGGUGGGCGAGCUGAGAAUGCGAAGGCGUACGGAAGAACUCACGUUAAGGAACUCGGCAAAAUACAUACGUAACUUCGGGAUAAGUAUGGCUCACGCAAGUGAGUUGCAGAGAAAUGGCCCAUGCGACUGUUUACCAAAAACACAGGUCCAUGCGAACCAGCAAUGGGAAGUAUAUGGACUGACACCUGCCCGGUGCUGGAAGGUCAAGGGGAGUGGUUAUUCAUUUAUGAAGAAGCUACGAACUCAAGCCCCAGUAAACGGCGGCCGUAACUAUAACGGUCCUAAGGUAGCGAAAUUCCUUGUCGGGUAAGUUCCGACCCGCACGAAUGGUGUAACGAUAUGGGCGCUGUCUCAACGUGAGAUCCGGUGAAAUUGAAGUUCAGGUGAAGAUGCCUGAUACUUGUGGUUAGACGGAAAGACCCCGUGAACCUUUACUUCAACUUGACAUUGAGAAUUGGACAAGGAUGUGUAGGAUAGGUGGGAGACGUAGAUGCGUGGACGUCAGUUUGCGCGGAGUCGUUGGUGAAAUACCACCCUUCCUUUUCCAGUUUUCUAACUCUUGCCGUAAGCCGGUAAGGGGACAGUGUCAGGCGGGAAGUUUGACUGGGGCGGUCGCCUCCUAAAGUGUAACGGAGGCGCGCGAUGGUCACCUUAGGAUGGUUGGGAAUCAUCCCUCAAGUGUAAAGGCACAAGGUGGCUUGACUGCGAGACUUACAAGUCGAGCAGGUACGAAAGUAGGUCUUAGUGAUCUGGCGGUAGCGUGUGGAAGCGCCGUCACUUAACGGAUAAAAGGUACUCCGGGGAUAACAGGCUGAUCUUGCCCAAGAGUUCAUAUCGACGGCAAGGUUGGCACCUCGAUGUCGGCUCAUCGCAUCCUGGGGCUGGAGCAGGUCCCAAGGGUUUGGCUGUUCGCCAAUUAAAGCGGUACGCGAGCUGGGUUCAGAACGUCGUGAGACAGUUCGGUCCCUAUCUGCCACAAGCGUUGGAUGUUUGAGGGGUUCUGCUUUUAGUACGAGAGGACCGAAGUGGACAAACCUCUGGUGUAUCAGUUGUCGUGCCAACGGCAGGUGCUGAGUAGCUACGUUUGGAAGGGAUAACCGCUGAAAGCAUCUAAGCGGGAAGCCCUCCCCAAGAUGAGACAUCCCAUCCUCUUUAAGAGGACUAAAGGAACCAGGCACAAUACCUGGUCGAUAGGCCGAGAGUGUAAGCAUGGCGACAUGUUCAGCUUAUCGGUACUAAUCAGCCGUGAGGCUUGACC